rnacentral:lncRNA from 1 species
GCUGUGAUCCUCCCAGGCUGCUUUCUUAGUCCUCUUCAACCUUGGGUUGUCCAAAAUGGGGAGCUGCUGCCAGAGAAGCUGCCCACCUGCUGGUGGAGCUCAGAGCCUGAGGACUGCCCAGCCCAAUGAGUGUCUCAGAGGAUGCCCAGACCCUGGAAUUCAAGAGCCUGGUGGGAGCAAUUUUCAGAGUGAGGCAUGGGUCACAUCAAUACAUGCAGUGGCCUGUUCACCAACUAUCUGUAAGUCUACAAUAACUCUGAGCAUUUGCAGGUUAUACUGGUGCUAUUAAAUUGUCUCAGGAGAGAUGGGACAGUCAUCCCUCUACAGAGUGGCAGAGCAAGGGUGGGGGUAGCUGGAAUGGUACCUUGGCUCAAAUCCCAACUCAGGUCACCCCAACAAGUGGGUACAUAAGGACCUGGUGUCAUUUUCUACCUGAGACAGACACUUCAUGAAGCCAGAACGCAUCAGGCUGAGGGGAUGAAUGCAUCAGGCUGAGGGGAUGAACGUAUCAGAUCGAUGGAUCCAGGCCAAUUAAAAGAUGUACCUGUGACAGGAAAUGGAACGCCAGAGUGGCAAAGGGGAGAAAGCAUUUGUAUUAAUUGGAUAGGCUUCAAGACUUUGUGGCCAUAGGACAAAUUGUUCUUCUUUAGGACAGGACCCCAGGAGGCAGGAUGCCCCACCACGGGUGUUCAGGCCCAGCUGAGGAGGCACACUGUGGGGCUGGCCUGGCCAUAGAUUGCUUGUGUGACCUGGGACUCCGGGGCAUUCUGGAGUGCUGAGUGAGAUGAUACCUGGCCCAUGGUAAGAGCUCAAGAAACGUGAUCAGUAACCAUGAUGGUGAUGGACAUGACAGGACUGGCAUUUUUGGAGGACACUCAGAUUUCUUUAGUUCCACUGUGUCUCUCCAUCCAACCCCAGCCACUGUCUUCUUGUUCUUUCUCUUCCCUUUCCUGCAGAGAGAGAAAAUCUGAGGAGGACCGUGCGGAAGAAGGGACUACACAGGACCAUAUCCUGGACCCCUUGGGCCUCCGUGGUGAGGGGGCCCGGCACAGGAGAACUGUUGGAAGUGAACAGGUGUUAUCACAGUGCUUUCGAGCUCGGGAGGCCCAGGGACUCAGAAGCCUAUCACUGGGAUCUGAGAGACCCGAUGACCCACAAGGGAAUUUUACAAUGAGGUAUGCUGAGAUGCUCUACCCAAAAUCCAGUUGACAAGUCACACAGCGAUGUGAAUGUAUUUAAUGCCUCUCAACUGUAUACUUAAAAAUGGUUAAAAUGGCAAAUUUGAUUUUAUGUAUAUUUACCACAAUGAAACAUUACAGCUGACAGAGAAAUAUAAUGGAAAUAAUUUUGUCCAAAACAAUUGGAACUCCUACUAUGUGCUAGGUGAUGGGUUAGGGCAUGGGGAAGUGGGUGAGGCCUGGUAUAGGAAAUGAGUAAGAUCUGCUUCCUGUGGUCCAGGAGCUCCCAGCCUUGCCAAGGAGACAAACACAUAAUCUGUUAAUUGAGCUACAUAAUUCAGGGUGACCUACAUUGUAAUAGACACGUGUACAGCCUGAUUUGAGUCAGGUUGAAGGGCUUUGAAUGCUACACUAAGGCAUUUGCAUUUUAUCCUAUGGUAAUUGGGAUUCACGAAUGAUUUUAACGCUAGGGUAUGAUGUGAAUAGAUUCAUUGCAAUUCCUUAUGUCAUAUCACCAAACAUCUACUUUGUGUGCAGUGUGUAAAUGGAUCAGUGGUUGUGAUAGGUUUUUUUUUUUUUAUUUUAAAAAUAUUUUUAGAUUUUAUC